rnacentral:rRNA from 1 species
AUUGAACGCUGGCGGCAGGCUUAACACAUGCAAGUCGAACGAGUGGCGGACGGGUGAGUAAUGCUUGGGAAUCUAGCUUAUGGAGGGGGAUAACUACGGGAAACUGUAGCUAAUAACGCGUACCAUAGGAUGAGCCCAAGUGGGAUUAGGUAGUUGGUGAGGUAAAGGCUCACCAAGCCGACGAUCUCUAGCUGGUCUGAGAGGAUGACCAGCCACACUGGGACUGAGACACGGCGCAGACUCCUGCGGGGGGCAGCAGUGGGGAAUAUUGCGCGAUGGGGGCAACCUGACGCAGCCAUGCCGCGUGAAUGAAGAAGGCCUUCGGGUUGUAAAGUGCUUUCGGACGAGAGGCGUUACUCGCAGAAGAAGCACCGGCUAACUCCGUGCCAGCAGCCGCGGUAAUUC